UACGUAGGGGGCUAGCGUUGUCCGGAAUCAUUGGGCGUAAAGCGCGUGUAGGCGGUCCGGUAAGUCCGCUGUGAAAGUCGGGGGCUCAACCCUCGGAUGCCGGUGGAUACUGUCGGGCUUGAGUACGGAAGAGGCGAGUGGAAUUCCUGGUGUAGCGGUGAAAUGCGCAGAUAUCAUUUGGAACGCCAAAGGCGAAAGCAGGCUUGCUGGGA
rnacentral:rRNA from 1 species